rnacentral:misc_RNA from 1 species
AAUUAACGGCAAUAUUAAAUGGAGUCAUAUUUAAUUUUAAAGGAAGUGUAGAGAUUAAAUUAUUUAAUUUCUAAAAUAUAGAAAUUAAAUUAUAAUAUCGAUUAAAAUUCAAGGACCCAAAAGUAAAUUUUCCUAUUGUUGAUUAAUAUCUAAGACUAGUAUAUAUAAAUAAUAGAAUUAAAAACUUACGUUAAUGCAAGACCCUCGCGAU